rnacentral:rRNA from 1 species
AUUGAACGCUGGCGGCAGGCCUAACACAUGCAAGUCGAGCGGUAGAGAGAAGCUUGCUUCUCUUGAGAGCGGCGGACGGGUGAGUAUGCCUAGGAAUCUGCUGGUAGUGGGGAUAACGUUCGGAAACGGACGCUAAUACCGCAUACGUCCUACGGGAGAAAGCAGGGGACCUUCGGGCCUUGCGCUAUCAGAUGAGCCUAGGUCGGAUUAGCUAGUUGGUGGGGGUAAAUGGGCUCACCAAGGCGACGAUCCGUAACUGGUCUGAGAGGAUGAUCAGUCACACUGGAACUGAGACACGGUCCAGACUCCUACGGGAGGCAGCAGUGGGGAAUAUUGGGACAAUGGGCGAAAGCCUGAUCCCAGCCCAUGCCGCGUGUGUGAAGAAGGUCUUCGGAUUGUAAAGCACUUUAAGUUGGGAGGAAGGGUUGUAGAUUAAUACUCUGCAAUUUUGACGUUACCGACAGAAUAAGCACCGGGCUAACUCUGUGCCCAGCAGCCGCGGGUAAAUA